rnacentral:misc_RNA from 1 species
GAAAGUGAAACCAAAACAUUAAGUAGAUCAAUAAACCAAUGAGCUUCAUCUUUGAGUUCAAAUUUUACCAACCAGAAUUCUGUUAAAUCAACAAACCAAAGAGUCCAUAACUGCUUUGAACCUGCAUCAGAAAUAAAGGGGAAAAAAUGUAAUUUUUGACCAACCUUUUGGAACAGGGGAAUGACAUUAUCUUUCAUUCCCUCUCUUUUGGCUUCAACUCUAGACAGAACCUGGACAUGCUAUGAUCAUCUUUUUGUAACUAGAUCAUAUAGCAUGCAAGGUUCUAUGCAUCCAAACCUCCUCUAUAACCCUUUGUUUACAUGAGAAGAAUUGCUUCUCUUCUUUGCUGCUUAUAUCGAGUUGAUGUCCCCAUUUAAGAUCUUGAUUCAAUCCACAAAGAUUAUGGCAUGAAAGCAAGCUUGUAUAUGGAUAAAGCAGAUUAUAAAGACGAAGCUAUCUUUACAGUAUUGUAAUUAAGAAUCAGAGGAUUCAGGCAUCCCUUUCCUCUCCUUUAGUCCCAAACAAAAAUUAUGUUCCUCCAUCUGUGGUGCAAUGGACACAAUUUUCUCAAAGAUCUCAUUCAGUUGAGGCUAUGAAACUACUCUGAUGCAAUUCAAUGUAACAUUAUAACUCCAGCUUUGGCAUUUCCAGGGGACUUGCAAUCUUCAUAUCCUUAACCAAUCCAUGCAACAUAUGAUGUAUGCUCUCAAUUUGGGGAUGCAAUGGGGAUCCCACUAGAAAUUCAUGGACAACUCCAUUAAUGCUGAUCCAACUACAUCCAGGCUGUUUCUUGACUCCUUUCUCCUUCAUAAACCACCUCAGUGCUGAUACAUCACUCCAUCGAUGAUCAACUGCAAAUAUAUUAGCCAACAUCACAUAGCCUGCAGAAUUAGCUGGGUCUACUUCAAGAAACCUCUUGUAAACAAGUUUAGCCAUAUCUGGUUUAGAAUGGAGCAGGCAACCACCAAGCAAUGCUCCCCACACAAAAUUAUUAGGCUUAAAAGGCAUUGAGGUAGCAACCUUGAUUGCUUCUUCCAAAUGGCCAUUUCGUGCAAGAAGAUCAAUAUAGCAAGCAUAAUGUUCUAAUUUAGGAAGGAUAACAAAGCUUGAGCUCAUGUCUCGGAAAAUCUUUCGUCCUUCAUCUGAUAAUCCUGAGUGGCUGCAUGCCCAUAAAAGGCCAAGGAAUGUUCCAGCAUUGGGAUGUAAACCAAACUCUUGCAUAGUGGAGAAAAGUUUAACUGCCUCCAUCCCUUCACCAUUUAUAGCAAGACCCAUUAUCAUGGUAUUGAACGAGACAACAUCUUUGGAAACCAUCUGGUUGAAAACCUCCUUUGCCUUGUCCAAACUCCCACAUUUAGAGUACAUGUCUAUCAAUGAAGUUGAUAGGAAUGUGUUGAAUUCUAGAACACCUUUGCUUCCUUUAGAUUUCAAGUAAUCAUGAACCCACUUUCCAAGCUCUAGAUCACCAAUUUGAGCACAAGCUGAAAGCACGCUAACCAUUGUGACAUGGUUGGGUCUACAAGUAGGAUUCUCCGCCAUUAAUCGAAAAAGACUCAAAGCCUCCAAAGGGAAACCAUUUUGAACGUAUGCAUUUAUCAUAGAAUUCCAAGGAAGUACACUUCUUUUUCCAUUACAAGAAAUAUCAUCAAAUCUUUCCCUACUCUUUUCAAUCUUUCCCCAUUUCCCAUACAAAUAAACAAGAACAUUGUUGAGUGAAUCACAACUAGAAGUCUUGCAUUCAAUACCGUUAGUGAAUUCUGAUAAAGCAGUUACCCAUUUCUCAAUUUGGUGGAUCUCAAGGUUCGAACAUGCUGACAAAACACUGACCACUGUAUCAUUCUCGGGCCUCAACUUCUCCCUAGCCAUCAUCACACAGAAGAGCCUCAAAACUUCCUCAGAUUGACCAGACUGAGCAAAACCAGCAAUCAAAGAAGUCCAACAACAAACCACACCUUUGUCAGGCAUUUCAUCAAACAACAAACGGGCAGAGGCCAAAUCUUUAAAGCACUUAGCAUAAACAGCUACAAGACCAUUGCAAACAAAAGGAUCAGUAAUAAGACCAACUUUUAAGAUGUGGGUAUGAACUUGUUGCACAUAAACCAUAUAUUUGGCACCAAAACACGCCUUCAAGAUAAACGAAAAGGUCAAGUCAUUAGGGGAAAGGGACUGCCGUUUUAAUCUACGGAAGAGAAAGAAAGAGUCGUGGAAAUGACCUUCAUAUGCGAAGACUCUGAUAAUGGCAUUAAACGGAAACAAAUUGGGUCCCUGCAGUUGAUCAAAAACGCGAAGAGCAAGAUGAGAUGGGUAAUGGCCAAUAAGACGAGUUGCUAUCAAGUUGUCUUGGUGUGCAUGGAGACGGAAGACUCUGGCAUGGAUUUGAAGGAGAUGGCCAUGUGGAAUGGGACCUUGCAAGAGAGUAGAGAGACUAAUGAAGCUAGGAGGACCUGAUUUGCAAUAGAUAGAACCGGCAAGGUUGAAGUAGCAGGUUUUCAAGGAGUCUGGAAGUUUAAGUUGUUGAAAGAUUGGAUAAAAGUAUGGUUUUUGAGUCGUGAAAGUGUGAAAUCUCAUAUCAAAACUACGAAUUAUUCAUCAAAAAUAACCUUUCAUGAGGCUUGGUCAUGGGUACAG